AAAUCGUAUAUUUUAUCAUUCAAAAUUUAUAUUCACAUGUAUCAUGACCAUAUGUGUUUAUGUUCGCUUUCGCGAAUUUAAACCAUAUUAUCACUUAUCAAUAAUAACAUGUGCGCGCUGCUCAUAUGUACUUACAUAAAUAUGUGCGUAUGACAUUGGCACAAAUAACGCAUACACAAACCUACAUACUUGUAUACAUAUGCGUACACAUGCAAAUAUGUCACCCCCAAAAACUACAAACAUUGCCUUACAAAAACAACAAUCGUUUGAAAUAGCAUCAUACCUACUUAUACGUACACUUGUAAAUAUGUGCGUAUGACAUACCCACAAAAAUAAUGCAUACACAACAUACAUACAUACUUAUAUGUAUUCACAUGUAGAUCCCAGCAAAACCUGCGUGACCGAAACUCCAACACAUUUACAUAAUUUUUACAUGUCACUAACGCACCCUCACAAUUCUGUCAAGUGAGUAAGAGAUCAAUCAAUUAUGUCUUUUGCUUGUUUUAUAUUACACGCUAUUUACUCAACAGAUGUUAAGAAAAAUAAAACAAAAAAAGACAAACUGAUUUUUAAGCUGUCAUUGCUUAUUGAAAACAAUGGAUGUGAAAGCGUACGGCAUGAUACCGUGAAUUUGACGUUUGCUUGUUCGUUGCGACUAAUUGAAUUCAAAGAAAAACGAUUUCUUUUAUGAACGCGUCGCGAUAAGAAGUUUUCAUUUUCUGAAAUUAAAUAAAUUUGUUUGUUAUAAUAUAUGUACAUAUAUAAUAUUUGAUUAAAGAAUUUUUAAGUGGUUACUACAAACGUGUGUGAGAAAAGGAUAAGUUGCAAACAUAACAAUUAAAAUGAAAAAAAAAAUACAUGCAGUACUUAUAUGAGCCGAGAAAAAAAGGCUUUUAAUCUUAGUGCGUCUCAGUUUAUGAACUUUUCUGAAAAAGAUAUAAAUUCUGAAUUUGAUCCUAUUGUGGAGGGGUGCACUUUAAAAAGCUCCCUUGAUUUUUCGCUAAGCAGCGAUAGCGAUAUUAGUGAUAGUGAUAGUGUAAAUUUAAAAAUGAUAGAAAAUAAUAUAUUUAGCUUAGAAUUAAAAGCAUGGGCUUUAAGAAAUAGGGUAUCCCACAAUACAUUGAGCGAUCUGUUGCAAACGCUGCGAAAAAUAGGUUGCACUGAUUUACCUUUAACGGCUAAAAGUCUCCUAGGUACCAACCGAAAAAAGGUAAAUAUUCAAACGAUUCCAAGUGGAUCUUUUUUAUAUAGAGGAAUUCAAAAUUAUUUUAAGAAUAAUUUAUUUCCUCAACUGGAAAAUACGAAUACCAUUUUGCUUGAUGUGGGAAUAGAUGGCCUUAAAUUAUUCAAAAAUUCAAAUAAAGUAUUGUGGCCUAUUUUAGCGUCCAUAGUUGAUUUUCCAAACGUAUUUCCGUUUACAAUUGCGUGCUUUUCUGGAACAGAAAAACCUUGGAACAUCAAUGAUUUUUUGAAAGAAUUUUGCGGAGAGGUAAAUUAUUUAAAAAAAAAAAAGUGGCCUUCAAGUUAGUGUUUAUCCUAUAAAGAAAAAAUCUGAUAUUCGUUUAUUUUGCAGCGAUGCUCCUGCUAGAGCUUUUGUUACAGGUGUGCAAUCGCACACUGGAAAAAGUAGCUGUUCUAAAUGUGAUCAAAUUGGUGACUAUAAAGAACGGAGAGUUUGUUUUUCAAAACAAAUAAAAAAUUUAAGGACUGACCUGUCUUUUAAAAAUAGAAAUGACAGAUCACAUCACAUCACUCCUUUUAAAUUUAGAGAAAGCAUUUUAGAGUCAGGAAAUUUCAAAAUGGAUUCUCAAUUUCCUUUAGACCCGAUGCACCUUGUAGAUCUUGGUGUAUGUAAAAAGUUGCUUCAAUUGUUGAUGAAAAAAAGCAAUAUAAACGUUAGCAAAAUUAACGAAAAAAUAACAUUUCUCUCCAAUUUAGUUUCUUCAGAGUUCGGCCGAAUAUGUAGAAGUUUAGAUGAAAUCAAUAUUUGGAAAGCGACAGAGUUUAGGCAGUUCUUAUUGUAUAUAGGUAUAUUUGUUCUAAAAGAUUGCGUUAGUGGUGACCAUUACUACCAUUUCCUCUUAUUGCACUCAGGUAUAAGGCUACUAUCAUGCAAGAAGUCAUAUAGCACUGAAGCCAACGUUGCCCAACAAAUCUUGGAAGAAUUCGUUGAUUUGUUUGGAAAUAUAUACGGAGACCAUUUAGUUAGUUACAACAUACAUGGUUUACUCCAUUUAACUGAAUGUACUAAGCUAUAUGGGCCUCUAGAUAACUUUUCCGCUUAUAAGUUUGAAAAUCACAUGCAAUUUUUAAAAAAACUUAUAUGUAAAUAAGCCCAAUAAAAUCCUGCAGCAAUUUCAUUUAAGGCUUGAAGAAAGAAAUAGUGCAGCUUUUAGUUGCAAUAAAAUUUCUAAAAUUAAUUCAUUUAAUAUAGAUUAUAAAAAAAAAAGACUCUUAUUGUUUUAGUAAAAAAUUAGGCCCCAUAAAAGUAAUAGGCAUGACAGACGAGUCUGGUAGUGCUAUAGUAUCGUCGCAUUGUUUCUUGGGUGUUGAAAGCUACUUUCAAGAACCAUUGGAAUCGUCAACUGGCUUAGGUAUUUUGUUGGCAAAUAAAUUAGAUCCACAAUUGUUUAAAAUCGAAAAAGAUGAUAUAGUUUAUAAAUAUUUUUCUAUUCCACAUGAGGGCAAGUUUCUUCUUAUACCAAUUUUACAUCAUCUAUUUCAUGAAUUUUCAAAUUAGUACUAUUUAAAGUAAUUGUGGUAUUUUCCGAAUGUAUUUUAUUUCAUGAUAUGAAUUAUUUAAAAGAAUUUUGAUACUGCCAAUUUUUUAUUUUACGAACAGAUGGAUUCACCAGCCCUCUUUGAUGCAAUUGAUUUUGAAGAAUUCCCAACAACGUCUUCGACUCCUGUAAAAGGUAUAACAACUGACACUGAAGCGCAAAAAAUUUGAUAUUUCUGGUUGCUACAACUCAGAGGAAAACGAAAUGAAAACAAUUUGGCUGUGGAUUGAAAUGAAGUUUUUAAUAUGUUAAAAACUAUUUCUGCACAAUUAGAAGUAUUGCCGACAAGAGUAUCCAAUAUGGAGAAAAAGAUGGACAGCUAUAUGAAAGAAAAUAUAAUUCAUAAAAGCGAAGAAAUGGCCCAAAAAAAACUGUGUGAGAAUGUAAGGUUUUAAUUAGAAAAAUUCACCAUUCAGUAUGCCGACUGACUGGUGAAGAAAUAGAUGGUAUGCAAACCGAAGUUGCCUCCACGCUACCAAUAAACUGAAAUGCGAGGAAUUUGCUACUGCAACGAAACAGUUUAUUUUAAAAACAAAGGGAAAUUCAGAUAAUUUACAUGAUAUGCUGAGACAUACAUACAUAUAUACACUGACGAAUUUUUGUUUUUGUGUAACUGGGACGGUAGAGGAGGGAAACAACCCCUAUCGAAAUUUCUACUGGCAUCUAACAUAUUAUAUGAUUCUUUCGUUACUUGUGGACUGGCGAAUUUCGAAAAAUAAAUUCGGAAGUCCAUCGAAAUGAGCCACCAUAGGUACAAACAAAAGAAAUACAGGAAGCGAAAAGCUGUGGAGGAAUCGAACGAAUCCAAAUAAAUAGAUAAUAAUUAAAAAAAAAAUGUAGUAGGAUUUAAGAAUGUAUAAACAAAAAUGAAUUUUAAUAGUGUAACUAU